GAUGAACGCUGGCGGCGUGCUUAACACAUGCAAGUCGAACGAAGCAUUUGCGACAGAUUUUUUCGGAAUGAAGUUGCUUAUGACUGAGUGGCGGACGGGUGAGUAACGCGUGGGUAACCUGCCUUGUACUGGGGGAUAGCAGCUGGAAACGGCUGGUAAUACCGCAUAAGCGCACAAUGUUGCAUGACAUGGUGUGAAAAACUCCGGUGGUAUAAGAUGGACCCGCGUCUGAUUAGCUAGUUGGUGAGAUAACAGCCCACCAAGGCGACGAUCAGUAGCCGACCUGAGAGGGUGACCGGCCACAUUGGGACUGAGACACGGCCCAGACUCCUACGGGAGGCAGCAGUGGGGAAUAUUGCACAAUGGAGGAAACUCUGAUGCAGCGACGCCGCGUGAGUGAAAAAGUAAUUCGUUAUGUAAAGCUCUAUCAGCAGGGAAGAUAGUGACGGUACCUGACGAAGAAGCUCCGGCUAAAUACGUG
rnacentral:rRNA from 1 species